rnacentral:rRNA from 1 species
UGUGAAAGCCAUGGGCUCAACUCAUGAAUUGCACCUAAAACUGUUUCUCUUGAGUUCGGGAGAGGAGAGCGGAAUCCCGGUGUAGCGGUGAAAUGCGUAGAUAUCGGGAAGAACACCAGUGGCGAAGGCGGCUCUCUGGCCUAGAACUGACGCUGAAGCGCGAAAGCGUGGGGAGCGAACGGGAUUAGAUACCCCGGUAGUCCACGCCGUAAACGUUGUGUACUAGGUGUUAGUGGCUUGACCACUAGUGCCGUCGCAAACGCAUUAAGUACACCGCCUGGGGAGUACGUCCGCAAGGAUGAAACUCAAAGAAAUUGACGGGGGCCCGCACAAGCGGUGGAGCAUGUGGUUUAAUUCGAUGAUACGCGAAGAACCUUACCUGGGCUUGAACUGCAUCUGAUCGGUGUAGAGAUACACCCUCCUUCGGGCAGGUGCAGAGGUGCUGCAUGGUUGUCGUCAGCUCGUGUCGUGAGAUGUUGGGUUAAGUCCCGCAACGAGCGCAACCCUUACCCCUUGUUGC